rnacentral:rRNA from 1 species
GGGGAAUAUUGCACAAUGGGCGCAAGCCUGAUGCAGCCAUGCCGCGUGUGUGAAGAAGGCCUUCGGGUUGUAAAGCACUUUCAGCGAGGAGGAAGGGUAGUGUGUUAAUAGCACAUUGCAUUGACGUUACUCGCAGAAGAAGCACCGGCUAACUCCGUGCCAGCAGCCGCGGUAAUACGGAGGGUGCAAGCGUUAAUCGGAAUUACUGGGCGUAAAGCGCACGCAGGCGGUUUGUUAAGUCAGAUGUGAAAUCCCCGCGCUUAACGUGGGAACUGCAUUUGAAACUGGCAAGCUAGAGUCUUGUAGAGGGGGGUAGAAUUCCAGGUGUAGCGGUGAAAUGCG